AUUGAACGCUGGCGGCAUGCCUUACACAUGCAAGUCGAACGGCAGCAUAGGAGCUUGCUCCUGAUGGCGAGUGGCGAACGGGUGAGUAAUAUAUCGGAACGUGCCCUAGAGUGGGGGAUAACUAGUCGAAAGAGUAGCUAAUACCGCAUACGAGCUACGGAUGAAAGAUGGGGCAUGCAGAAACGCAUACUGCUGGAGCGGACGUUAUCUGAUUAGCUAGUUGGUGGGGUAAAAGCCUACCAAGGCAACGGUCAGUAGCUGGUCUGAGAGGACUACCAGCCACACUGGGACUGAGACACGGCCCAGACUCCUACGGGAGGCAGCAGUGGGGAAUUUUGGACAAUGGGGGCAACCCUGAUCCAGCAAUGCCGCGUGAGUGAAGAAGGCCUUCGGGUUGUAAAGCUCUUUUGUCAGGGAAGAAACGGUAGUAGCGAAUAACUACUACUAAUGACGGUACCUGAAGAAUAAGCACCGGCUAACUACGUGCCAGCAGCCGCAGUAA
rnacentral:rRNA from 1 species